ACGUAGGACCUGAUUCAAAGCCUAUUAAGUCAAUGUGAGUAUUUCCAUUGACUUUAAUGGGCUUUGAAUCAGGCCCCUGGU
rnacentral:pre_miRNA from 1 species